UACGUAGGGUGCAAGCGUUGUCCGGAAUUAUUGGGCGUAAAGAGCGUGUAGGCGGCCAGGUAGGUCUGCUGUGAAAACUCGAGGCUCAACCUCGAGCUGUCGGCGGAAACCAUCUGGCUAGAGUCCGGAAGAGGAGAGUGGAAUUCCUGGUGUAGCGGUGAAAUGCGCAGAUAUCAGGAAGAACACCCGUGGCGAAGGCGGCUCUCUGGGACGGUACUGACGCUGAGACGCGAAAGCGUGGGGAGCGAACAGG
rnacentral:rRNA from 1 species